rnacentral:rRNA from 1 species
GUAAGGAAUAUUGGACAAUGGACGCAAGUCUGAUCCAGCCAUGCCGCGUGAAGGAUUAAGGUCCUCUGGAUUGUAAACUUCUUUUAUAAGGGACGAAAAAAGGCUUUUCUAAGUCGUCUGACGGUACCUUAUGAAUAAGCACCGGCUAACUCCGUGCCAGCAGCCGCGGUAAUACGGAGGGUGCAAGCGUUAUCCGGAUUCACUGGGUUUAAAGGGUGCGUAGGCGGGCAGGUAAGUCAGUGGUGAAAUCCUAGAGCUUAACUCUAGAACUGCCAUUGAUACUAUCUGUCUUGAAUAUUGUGGAGGUAAGCGGAAUAUGUCAUGUAGCGGUGAAAUGCUUAGAUAUGACAUAGAACACCUAUUGCGAAGGCAGCUUACUACGCAUAUAUUGACGCUGAGGCACGAAAGCGUGGGGAUCAAACAGGAUUAGAUACCCUUGUAGUCC